UACGUAGGCAGCAAGCGUUGUUCGGAAUUACUGGGCGUAAAGCGAGUGUAGGUGGUUUUCCAAGUUGGAUGUGAAAGCCUUGAGCUCAACUCAAGAAAUGCAUUCAGGACUGGAUGACUAGAGGACCGGAGAGGAUAGUGGAAUUCCCAGUGUAGUGGUGAAAUACGUAGAGAUUGGGAAGAACACCAGUGGCGAGGGCGGCUAUCUGGACGGUUUCUGACACUAAGACUCGAAAGCGUGGGGAGCAAACAGG
rnacentral:rRNA from 1 species